rnacentral:rRNA from 1 species
GAUCCCAUCCCGAACUCAGAAGCUAAGCUCUUUUGCGCCGAUGGUACUGUAGCGUUCGCUACGGGAGAGUAGGUCGAUGCCAGGA